rnacentral:rRNA from 1 species
UACGGGGGGGGCAAGCGUUGUUCGGAAUUACUGGGCGUAAAGGGCUCGUAGGUGGCCAACUAAGUCAGACGUGAAAUCCCUCGGCUUAACCGGGGAACUGCGUCUGAUACUGGAUGGCCUGAGUUUGGGAGAGGGAUGCGGAAUUCCAGGUGUAGCGGUGAAAUGCGUAGAUAUCGAGAGGAACACCUGCGGCGAAGGCGGGUUGCUGGGCCGACACUGACGCUGAUGCGCGAAAGCCAGGGGAGCGAACGGG